UACGUAGGUGGCAAGCGUUGUUCGGAAUUACUGGGCGUAAAGCGCACGUAGGCGGCUUUCUAAGUCGGGGGUGAAAUCCUGGAGCUCAACUCCAGAACUGCCUUCGAUACUGGAAAGCUCGAGUCCGGGAGAGGUGAGUGGAAUUGCGAGUGUAGAGGUGAAAUUCGUAGAUAUUCGCAAGAACACCAGUGGCGAAGGCGGCUCACUGGCCCGAUACUGACGCUGAGGCACGAAAGCGUGGGGAGCAAACAGG
rnacentral:rRNA from 1 species